GAUGAACGCUGGCGGCGUGCCUAAUACAUGCAAGUCGAGCGAACAGAUGAGGAGCUUGCUCCUCUGACGUUAGCGGCGGACGGGUGAGUAACACGUGGAUAACCUACCUAUAAGACUGGGAUAACUUCGGGAAACCGGAGCUAAUACCGGAUAAUAUAUUGAACCGCAUGGUUCAAUAGUGAAAGACGGUUUUGCUGUCACUUAUAGAUGGAUCCGCGCCGCAUUAGCUAGUUGGUAAGGUAACGGCUUACCAAGGCAACGAUGCGUAGCCGACCUGAGAGGGUGAUCGGCCACACUGGAACUGAGAUACGGUCCAGACUCCUACGGGAGGCAGCAGUAGGGAAUCUUCCGCAAAGGGCGAAAGCCUGACGGAGCAACGCCGCGUGAGUGAUGAAGGUCUUCGGAUCGUAAAACUCUGUUAUUAGGGAAGAACAAAUGUGUAAGUAACUAUGCACGUCUUGACGGUACCUAAUCAGAAAGCCACGGCUAACUACGUG
rnacentral:rRNA from 1 species